AUUGAACGCUGGCGGCAGGCUUAACACAUGCAAGUCGAGCGGAGAUGAGGUGCUUGCACCUUAUCUUAGCGGCGGACGGGUGAGUAAUGCUUAGGAAUCUGCCUAUUAGUGGGGGACAACAUUCCGAAAGGAAUGCUAAUACCGCAUACGUCCUACGGGAGAAAGCAGGGGAUCUUCGGACCUUGCGCUAAUAGAUGAGCCUAAGUCGGAUUAGCUAGUUGGUGGGGUAAAGGCCUACCAAGGCGACGAUCUGUAGCGGGUCUGAGAGGAUGAUCCGCCACACUGAGACUGAGACACGGCCCAGACUCCUACGGGAGGCAGCAGUGGGGAAUAUUGGGCAAUGGGGGGAACCCUGUUCCAGCCAUGCCGCGUGUGUGAAGAAGGCCUUAUGGUUGUAAAGCACUUUAAGCGAGGAGGAGGCUACUGAGACUAAUACCCUUGGAUAGUGGACGUUACUCGCAGAAUAAGCACCGGCUAACUCUGUGCCAGCAGCCGCCGUAACAC
rnacentral:rRNA from 1 species